CCUACGGGAGGCAGCAGUAGGGAAUAUUGCUCAAUGGGGGAAACCCUGAAGCAGCAACGCCGCGUGGAGGAUGAAGGUUUUCGGAUUGUAAACUCCUUUUGUUAGAGAAGAUAAUGACGGUAUCUAACGAAUAAGCCCCGGCUAACUCCGUGCCAGCAGCCGCGGUAAUACGGAGGGUGCAAGCGUUACUCGGAAUCACUGGGCGUAAAGAGCGCGUAGGCGGGGAAGCAAGUCAGAUGUGAAAUCCUAUGGCUUAACCAUAGAACUGCAUUUGAAACUGUUAUUCUAGAGUAUGGGAGGGGUAGGCGGAAUUCUUGGUGUAGGGGUAAAAUGCGUAGAGAUCAAGAGGAAUACUCAUUGCGAAGGCGACCUGCUAGAACAUAACUGACGCUGAUGCGCGAAAGCGUGGGGAGCAAACAGGAUUAGAUACCCUUGUAGUC
rnacentral:rRNA from 1 species